rnacentral:rRNA from 1 species
UAAGGUGGUUAUAGCAACGGGGCUCACCUCUUCCCAUUCCGAACAGAGCAGUUAAGCCCGUUAGCGCCGAUGGUACUACAUA